AAAGAGUGACAGGAGUGAAUCCACUGCUUGUUGCAAUGUCUCAGACCCAAAUGCCCUUUGUCAAUAACCAAAUGCCUAUGCAAUCCAACACUCAAUUCUUCCAUCAAAAUAUGUCUGCAUUUGCAAACAGCCCCCCACAUCACCAUAAUUUGGAACCUCCUCCCAUUCCACAUGUUGGAAGAUCACAGAAUGACGUGGCAACCAAAAUAUCUGAUAUGCCCUCUGUGCAUAUUGAUCACGUGCAGAAGCAGGCCAUGCAUGGCCCUUUGUCAGCUUGGGAUGCAGAACCUCCCCAUUCAACUCCAAACCACAAGAAGAAUUGAACGUG
rnacentral:misc_RNA from 1 species